rnacentral:rRNA from 1 species
CUAAACUAGUUACCGUCCACAGUGGAAUCAGCGACUGGGGUGAAGUCGUAACAAGGUAACCGUAGGAGAACCUGCGGUUGGAUCACCUCCUUUCUAGA